rnacentral:rRNA from 1 species
AGUGAACGCUGGCGGCGUGCUUAACACAUGCAAGUCGAACGAGAACGGAUUAUAGCUUGCUAUAAUUGUCAGCUAAGUGGCGCACGGGUGAGUAAUGUAUAGGUAAUAUGCCUCUUACUAAGGGAUAACAAAUGGAAACGUUUGCUAAUACCUUAUACUCCUUAUUAACAUAAGUUAAUAAGGGAAAGAUUUAUUGGUAAGAGAUUAGCCUGUAUUGUAUCAGUUAGUUGGUGGGGUAAUGGCUUACCAAGACUAUGACACAUAACUGGUUUGAGAGGAUGAUCAGUCACACCGGAACUGAGACACGGUCCAGACUCCUACGGGAGGCAGCAGUGGGGAAGAUUGCACAAUGGACGAAAGUCUGAUGCAGCAACGCCGCGUGGAGGAUGACACAUUUCGGUGCGUAAACUCCUUUUAUAUGAGAAGAUAAUGACGGUAUUAUAUGAAUAAGCACCGGCUAACUCCGUGCCAGCCGCCGCGGUAA